UGCCAGCAGCCGCGGUAAUACGGAGGGUCCGAGCGUUAUCCGGAUUUAUUGGGUUUAAAGGGUGCGCAGGCGGAAUAAUCAGUCAGUGGUGAAAUCUCUCGGCUCAACCGAGAAACUGCCAUUGAUACUGUUAUUCUUGAGUAUAGUUGUAGUGGGCGGAAUAUAGCAUGUAGCGGUGAAAUGCUUAGAUAUGCUAUAGAACACCGAUCGCGAAGGCAGCUCACUAAACUAUAACUGACGCUCAGGCACGAAAGCGUGGGGAGCAAACAGGAUUAGAUA
rnacentral:rRNA from 1 species